rnacentral:tRNA from 1 species
GGGGUUGUGGCUCAGUGGUAGGGUGCUUGCCUUUCAUGUGAGAGGCACUGGGUUCAAUUCUCAGCACCA